rnacentral:tRNA from 2 species
GGCCGGUUAGCUCAGUUGAUUAGAGUGUGGUGCUAAUAACACUAAGGUGAUGGGUUCGAUCCCUAUAUGGGCCA